GAUGAACGCUGGCGGCGUGCCUAAUACAUGCAAGUCGAGCGAAGCGGGGACGGGUGAGUAAAACGUGGAUAACCUCCUAUAAGACUGGGAUAACUUCGGGAAACCGGAGCUAAUCCGGAAGCUUAUAGAUGGUUCCGCGCUGCAUUAGCUAGUUGGUAAGGUAACGGCUUACCAAGGCAACGAUGCAUAGCCGACCUGAGCGGAGGAUCGGCCGCACUGGAACGGAGACACGGGCCAGACUCCUACGGGAGGCAGCAGUAGGGAAUGUUGCGCAAUGGGCGAAAGCCUGACGGAGCAGCGCCGCGUGUGUGAUGAAGGUCUUCGGGUCGUAAAGCUCGGUUAUUAGGGAUGCGGUACCUGGACAAAAAGCGACGGCUAACUGCGUGCCAGCAGCCGCGGUAAUUC
rnacentral:rRNA from 1 species